rnacentral:rRNA from 1 species
GACGGAGGAUGCAAGUGUUAUCCGGAAUCACUGGGCGUAAAGCGUCUGUAGGUGGUCAAAUAAGUCAACUGUUAAAUCUUGAGGCUCAACCUCAAAAUCGCAGUCGAAACUAUUCGACUAGAGUAUAGUAGGGGUAAAGGGAAUUUCCAGUGGAGCGGUGAGAUGCGUAGAGAUUGGAAAGAACACCGAUGGCGAAGGCACUUUACUGGGCUAUUACUAACACUGAGAGACGAAAGCUAGGGUAGCAAAUGGG